rnacentral:rRNA from 1 species
GCUUGACUGCGAGACAGACACGUCGAGCAGGUACGAAAGUAGGUCUUAGUGAUCCGGUGGUUCUGUAUGGAAGGGCCAUCGCUCAACGGAUAAAAGGUACUCCGGGGAUAACAGGCUGAUACCGCCCAAGAGUUCAUAUCGACGGCGGUGUUUGGCACCUCGAUGUCGGCUCAUCACAUCCUGGGGCUGAAGCCGGUCCCAAGGGUAUGGCUGUUCGCCAUUUAAAGUGGUACGCGAGCUGGGUUUAGAACGUCGUGAGACAGUUCGGUCCCUAUCUGCCGUGGACGUUUGAGAUUUGAGAGGGGCUGCUCCUAGUACGAGAGGACCGGAGUGGACGAACCUCUGGUGUUCCGGUUGUCACGCCAGUGGCAUUGCCGGGUAGCUAUGUUCGGAAAAGAUAACCGCUGAAAGCAUCUAAGCGGGAAACUUGCCUCAAGAU